CCAGGCAGGUUACUGAGAGCGUAAGGGAUUUUCCCCAUGGUUCCCUGCUGUUUCUUUGUGGCCAUGCUGGCCCCUGUGGCAUUGGCUCUGGAACAGUCCCUAGACAUGGUGAUAAGAGAAGGCCAGUCCGUGAAUCUGCAAUGCUCCAAGAAGAAAUCUUCCAACACAAUGAUGUACUGGUACUGGCUGCCUUUKGGGAAGGACUCCAGGCUGACCCUGCUGGUUACUGCAAUAGAAGGUGUCAAUGCAGCUGUGGAGAAGGAUUUUGAGAGCCGUUUCAAGAGCAGCAAGAUCCAAGGAGACAGCAUCACCCUCUYCAUAGAGCAUGCCUUUCUCAAUGACUCUGGCACAUAUUACUGUGCUGAGAGUGAGCACAGUGGUGAGGCUGAUGAGAGAGCUGAGCACAAACUUCUCCCUGCACAAACAGCACCUGCUUUCCAUGUCCUGGGUGCUGCACGAGGCAGG